AAAGACCCAACACUACACGCUGAAGCAUCUAAAUAAAAUUAGGGCUUGUGAUAUCCUUCGCGGAAAGUCGAUCUGGAUCGAAAACAAUGGAGAUCCAAAAAUCAAAAUCAACGAGGUGCCAAUCAGACGUUGCUCUGAGCUUCACAAAACAUUUAUUCUCAAAAGAAGAUUAUCAAGAGAAGAAUCUCAUCUUUUCACCCUUGUCUCUCUACGCUGCUCUUAGCGUUAUGGCCGCCGGUUCAGAAGGCCGCACACUCGACGAGCUUCUUUCCUUCCUCCGAUUUGACUCUAUCGAUCAUCUCAACACCUACUUCUCUCAAGGGAUUUCCCCUGUGUUCUCCGACGAGGAUCCUGCUUCUUCUCCUUCACAGCAUCAUCUGUCUUUUACCAAUGGAAUGUUUAUUGAUACAACGGUUUCCCUUUCCUAUCCUUUUAGAAGACUUCUGUCCACUCAUUACAAUGCCAGUCUAGCUUCACUUGAUUUUAAUCUCCGGGGUGAUAGUGUGCUCCAUGAUGUGAAUUCAUUGAUUGAACAAGAGAGUAAUGGCCUUAUUACACAGCUUCUUCCACCGGGGACAGUAACCAACUUAACCAAGCUUAUCUUUGCAAAUGCACUGCGCUUCCAGGGUAUGUGGAAACACACGCUUGAUGGUCUAACACAUGUAUCAUCAUUUAACCUCCUUAGUGGCACCUCUGUCAAGGUUCCCUACAUGACUACCUUUAAGAAAACACAGUAUGUUAGAGCUUUUGAUGGUUUCAAAAUUCUCCGUCUUCCUUAUAAACAAGGAAGAGAUAGACAACGCCGCUUCUCCAUGUGCAUUUUCCUUCCAGAUGCACAAGAUGGACUUUCAGCUUUAAUUCAAAAGUUGUCUUCAGAACCUGGUUUCUUGAAAGGCAAGCUUCCUCACCGAAAAGUGCGAGUACGUCCAUUCCGGGUUCCAAAAUUCAAUAUUUCUUUUACAUUUGAAGCUUCUAACGUGCUCAAGGAGGUUGGAGUGGUUUCCCCUUUCUCUCCAAUGGAUGCGCAUUUUACAAAAAUGGUGAAUGUGAAUUCUCCUUCGGAUAAUUUAUUCGUGCAAAGCAUAUUUCACAAAGCUUUCAUUGAAGUGAAUGAAAAAGGCACUAAAGCAACCGCAGCCACUUGGUCUGCGCUGGCACGACAAUGUGCUCGAGAUCAUCAUCCAUCUAUAGACUUUAUAGCUGACCACCCUUUCCUCUUCUUGAUCAGAGAAGAUUUCACCGGAACAAUCCUCUUCGUUGGGCAGGUGCUCAAUCCUCUUGAUGGAUUACCUGUCAAGAGAACUCGCCGUUUGUGCAUCAGCCCAGUAGCAGCUAGGCCGGUCAAGGAUCGGCGUGUGACGCCUCUCUCCAAGGAUGAAAAUUCGAUGUUUUUAGGCCUUUCUAGGGAGUACCAACCAUCUCCAAGGUUACCUUCAUCCGCGCUCUUCCCUGAAAUUUCCCUUGUUGAUUGCAGGUUUGAUGUUUGUGGCUGUGAAGGUUGGAAGGCCUGAAGCCACCCAUGGAAGAGAGGGGGUUGAGAUGUGUUACCAUCAUCACUGUAGCUGUAUGGAGGAGGGAAGAACUGCUCAACUGCAUAUAGGAGAAUAUUGCUCCAACAAGCCCUGCAGGAAACAUAGAGGAAUGAUCUCCAAGUUGGAUGAAAACAAACCUAGAAGGUCACCAGCAAACACAUCUUGCAAAUGAUGCCAAUAGUCAUCAACUCUACUGAUUCCAACUAGACAAGCAACAAGUAGAGAAAGAAACAUAAUGCAUACUUUUGCCACGUGCCCUCGGCCUCUGCGACCAAAGCGUCAAUCUUCCCACAUAGCUAGGUACAAAGAGAGGAAACCUAGACCUGAAAACGACACUGCAGAACAAAAUUGAUUAGAUAAAGGUGGAUACAGAUACAAUUUUCUGAACAAAAUAUGAUAUUUCGUCUCCUUAUAAUAUCUAAUGUUAGUUUUUUCUUAAUUUUUUCUUGUCUCUGCAUUUGCUUUUUCCUCUGCACUCUAAUAUGUGUUAGCCUUUCACCUCUCAAUCAAUACGUACGCAUAACUGUUGUUUAGGACGUUCAUCUACUUAAUCAUAGU